AUGGCCGCGCCAGCUCUCCCCCUUGCCAACCACGCCGCUCCCACGGCCACGGCCAGGUACCUCCACCGCAACCUCCAGUUACUGCAGCCCAAGCGGCAGCUCCCGCCCGGCUUCCUCGCCGCUCGGCCUCUCCGGCAGCCGCGCCGGGCGCUCUCCGCCGUGCCGGAAACCAAGGAGGAGGACGCCAAGACGGCCGAGGAGAUCACCGAGAAGUACGGCCUCGAGGUCGGCCUCUGGAAGAUAUUUAGCUCGAAGGAGGAGGAGGGAGGCGAGGAAGGGGAGGAGGGGAAGCCGAAGAAGUCGAGAACGGAGCAGGCCAAGGAGCUCCUGGGCAAGUACGGCGGCGCGUACCUGGCCACCUCGAUCACGCUCUCGCUCAUCUCCUUCACCGCCUGCUACCUCCUCAUCAACGCCGGCGUCGACGUCCAGCAGCUGCUCGGCAAGAUUGGGAUCGCCACGGACGAGACCGGAGGGAAGGUGGGGACAUUCGCGCUGGCCUACGCCGCGCAUAAGGCCGCGUCGCCGAUAAGGUUCCCGCCGACUGUGGCGCUCACGCCGGUGGUGGCCAACUGGAUAGGGAAGAUCACCAAGGGAGGCGACUGA
rnacentral:rRNA from 1 species